rnacentral:rRNA from 1 species
GACGAACGCUGGCGGCGUGCUUAACACAUGCAAGUCGAACGGAAAGGCCCUGCUUUUGUGGGGUGCUCGAGUGGCGAACGGGUGAGUAACACGUGAGUAACCUGCCCUUGACUUUGGGAUAACUUCAGGAAACUGGGGCUAAUACCGGAUAGGAGCCCCUGCUGCAUGGUGGGGGUUGGAAAGUUUCGGCGGUUGGGGAUGGACUCGCGGCUUAUCAGCUUGUUGGUGGGGUAGUGGCUUACCAUGGCUUUGACGGGUAGCCGGCCUGAGAGGGUGACCGGCCACAUUGGGACUGAGAUACGGCCCAGACUCCUACGGGAGGCAGCAGUGGGGAAUAUUGCACAAUGGGCGGAAGCCUGAUGCAGCAACGCCGCGUGCGGGAUGACGGCCUUCGGGUUGUAAACCGCUUUCGCCUGUGACGAAGCGUGAGUGACGGUAAUGGGUAAAGAAGCACCUGCUAACUACGUG